UAGGGAAUCUUCGGCAAUGGGGGGAACCCUGACCGAGCAACGCCGCGUGAGUGAAGAAGGUUUUCGGAUCGUAAAGCUCUGUUGUUAAGGAAGAACGAGUGUGAGAAUGGAAAGUUCAUACUGUGACGGUACUUAACCAGAGAGGGACGGCUAACUACGUGCCAGCAGCCGCGGUAAUACGUAGGUCCCGAGCGUUGUCCGGAUUUAUUGGGCGUAAAGCGAGCGCAGGCGGUUAGAAAAGUCUGAAGUGAAAGGCAGUGGCUCAACCAUUGUAGGCUUUGGAAACUGUUUAACUUGAGUGCAGAAGGGGAGAGUGGAAUUCCAUGUGUAGCGGUGAAAUGCGUAGAUAUAUGGAGGAACACCGGUGGCGAAAGCGGCUCUCUGGUCUGUAACUGACGCUGAGGCUCGAAAGCGUGGGGAGCGAACAGGAUUAGAUACCCUGGUAGUCCACGCCGUAAACGAUGAGUGCUAGGUGUUAGGUCCUUUCCGGGACUUAGUGCCGCAGCUAACGCAUUAAGCACUCCGCCUGGGGAGUACGACCGCAAGGUUG
rnacentral:rRNA from 1 species